AUUGAACGCUGGCGGAAUGCUUUACACAUGCAAGUCGAACGGCAGCACGGGGGCAACCCUGGUGGCGAGUGGCGAACGGGUGAGUAAUACAUCGGAACGUGCCCAGUCGUGGGGGAUAACGUAGCGAAAGUUACGCUAAUACCGCAUACGAUCUACGGAUGAAAGCGGGGGACCGUAAGGCCUCGCGCGAUUGGAGCGGCCGAUGUCAGAUUAGGUAGUUGGUGAGGUAAAGGCUCACCAAGCCGACGAUCUGUAGCUGGUAUGAGAGGACGACCAGCCACACUGGGACUGAGACACGGCCCAGACUCCGACGGGAGGCAGCAGUGGGGAAUUUUGGACAAUGGGCGCAAGCCUGAUCCAGCCACUCCGCGUGCAGGACGAAGGCCUUCGGGUUGUAAACUGCUUUUGUACGGAACGAAAAGGCUCUGGUUAAUACCUGGGGCUCAUGACGGUACCGUAAGAAUAAGCACCGGCUAACUACGUGCCAGCCGCCGCGGUAA
rnacentral:rRNA from 1 species